UUGCAGAUGAGGAAUUACUCGGAUUCCCCUUCAAGAGAUCAUGGGUGAUGCAACCGAGUCUCUGAUGCU